UACGGAGGGUGCGAGCGUUGUCCGGAAUCACUGGGCGUAAAGGGCGCGUAGGCGGCCGUGUAAGUCACUUGUGAAAUCCCGGGGCUCAACUCCGGGGCUGCAGGUGAGACUGCGUGGCUAGAGCACGGUAGAGGCGAGUGGAAUUCCCGGUGUAGCGGUGGAAUGCGUAGAUAUCGGGAAGAACACCGGUGGCGAAGGCGGCUCGCUGGGCCGUUGCUGACGCUGAGACGCGAAAGCGUGGGGAGCAAACAGG
rnacentral:rRNA from 1 species